rnacentral:rRNA from 1 species
UGCAGUCGAGCGAACGGACGAGAAGCUUGCUUCUCUGAUGUUAGCGGCGGACGGGUGAGUAACACGUGGAUAACCUACCUAUAAGACUGGGAUAACUUCGGGAAACCGGAGCUAAUACCGGAUAAUAUUUUGAACCGCAUGGUUCAAAAGUGAAAGACGGUCUUGCUGUCACUUAUAGAUGGAUCCGCGCUGCAUUAGCUAGUUGGUAAGGUAACGGCUUACCAAGGCAACGAUGCAUAGCCGACCUGAGAGGGUGAUCGGCCACACUGGAACUGAGACACGGUCCAGACUCCUACGGGAGGCAGCAGUAGGGAAUCUUCCGCAAUGGGCGAAAGCCUGACGGAGCAACGCCGCGUGAGUGAUGAAGGUCUUCGGAUCGUAAAACUCUGUUAUUAGGGAAGAACAUAUGUGUAAGUAACUGUGCACAUCUUGACGGUACCUAAUCAGAAAGCCACGGCUAACUACUG